UACGUAGGGUGCAAGCGUUGUCCGGAAUUAUUGGGCGUAAAGAGCUCGUAGGCGGUUUGUUGCGUCGGCUGUGAAAUCCCGAGGCUCAACCUCGGGUCUGCAGUCGAUACGAGCAAACUAGAGUGCUGCAGGGGAGACUGGAAUUCCUGGUGUAGCGGUGAAAUGUGUAGAGAUCGGGAGGAACACCGGUGGCGAAGGCGGGUCUCUGGGCAUCUCCUGACGCUGAGGCGCGAAAGCGUGGGGAGCAAACGGG
rnacentral:rRNA from 1 species